AUUGUUAUGACAAAGCCUUUACAGUGUAGUGAAGAAGGCGCAACAGCACCUCUUCAACCUCAGGAGGCUGAAGAAAUUUGACUUGUCACCUAAAAAGCCUCACAAACUUUUACAGAUACACAAUUGAGAGCAUCCUGUUGGGCUGUAUCACCGCCUGGUAAGGCAACUGCACCACCCACAACCGUAGGGCUCUCCAGAGGGUGGUGCGGUCUGCACAACGCAUCACCGGAGGAAACCUGCCUGCCCUCUAGGACACCUACAGCACCCGAUGUCACAGGAAGUCAAAAAAGAUCAUCAAGGACAACAACCACCCGAGCCAUGGCCUGUUCACCCCGCUACCAUCCAGAAGGCGAGGUGCAGACCCAGAGGACACCAUCCUCAAUGCCUUCAAAGUCUUUGAUCCUGAGGGGAAGGAGACCUUGAAGAAGGACUU
rnacentral:lncRNA from 1 species